rnacentral:lncRNA from 1 species
CUAGCGACUCAGUUUCACUGUGAGGCCCCCGGGCGAUUGUGAAGGUACCAGGCGAUGGUGUUGCUGGCCCAGGGCAGCUUCUGCAGCAGUGCAGGGAGGGCUGGCCAGGAUUGUUUAGCCUGUGCCUGUUUCCUCACGUUUUGUGUGUUGACAGAGCAUGAUCUAAACAUUUUAUCAGUUUCUUUUUCAUUUACGUAAAUUAGGCAGUAGGGAAAUCUCAGCUAACUAAGGUCUUUAAAUUUUAUUUGGAUGAACAAAAAAUGUAAUCAGAGGGAAGGGAACUCAUUUUCCUCGAGGGUCAGAGGCAGGAAUCAGAAAGGCUUUCUAGGGGGUGGGCCUGGCCUCUCCGGUUGUCUGUGAAAUUGAGACAGGUAUGGGAGUCUAGAAACGGAGUUGCAUGUGUGUGAUUCCUUUCAGUUACUUUAAUUGGAUCUCUGGUUAUCCUUGAACUAUCCCCGAAUUUAAACAGUUCUUCAUGUUUGAGAUAUAGAAGCAUCUUAAGGAGCCUGGGGACUAUGGGCAGGGCCUGGCAUAAGCUAUUUGUAUGUUUAAAAGUGGUAUAUAAUAGUAUUAAAUUGGGAUAUAAAGUAGUGUUAAAA